rfam:Klebsiella pneumoniae IS43, WGS project CBWK01000000 data, contig: c210
UACAUCUCACUCCAUGCCUUGACCUGAUCGCCUGAUCAUCGAUACGUAAACGUUUGCCUACACACACCCUGAAUACAAUUUUCAACAUUGCAUCACGUCGGGAAAACGACACAGAACGACAGGAAGGGGUCAAUGGCCGAUACGCUUUUAAAUUAGCGUGGGAUUUUGUCCGAUCUUGGGGCAAAGUGGAAGAGCAAAAAUGUGCAUCGCCCUAAAUCCCGGAAGAUUUUUGCGAUUUUUUGUGCAAAAAUGAGCAAGCUCACUUUUGGUGUGGGGAUAACAAGAGGGAAAAAAUGAUGGAUACCAAUUUAAAGUUUUCGCUGAUCACCACGAUUAUUGCUCUCGGCGUGAUUGUCGCUUUCAGCCUGACCGCCAUACUGCACUAAUGU